CGGCGGACGGGUGAGUAACACGUGGGUAACCUACCUAUAAGACUGGGACAACUUCGGGAAACCGGAGCUAAUACCGGAUAAUAUGUUGAACCGCAUGGUUCAAUAGUGAAAGAUGGUUUUGCUAUCACUUAUAGAUGGACCUGCGCCGUAUUAGCUAGUUGGUGAGGUAACGGCUCACCAAGGCAACGAUACGUAGCCGACCUGAGAGGGUGAUCGGCCACACUGGAACUGAGACACGGUCCAG
rnacentral:rRNA from 1 species